GACGUCGACAUUCGACGUCAUAAACACGAGCAACUGCGGUGUUUAUGACGUCGAUAUUCGACGUCAUAAACACGAGCAACUUUGGUGUUUAUGACGUCGAUAUUCGACGUCAUAAACACGAGCAACUUUGGUGUUUAUGACGUCGAUAUUCGACGUC